ACUGCUCUUCAUUACUGUAACCAUGAUGGGAAUUUAAAAACCCGAGAAACUUCCGCGUGGAUAUCAGGCCUCAUAUAGCUACAAUGGGUCCACUUUUGUCUUGGCUGGUCAUUCCCUACCAAAAAACGCACACUGCUGGUCCACCGGGUGAUGUCACAAGAUUAUAUAUGUCAUCAUAAUCACCUCUGUUGCGAUGAGGUGUGUCAUUUUUUGCAGGUGCCCAGCCAUUGGCAGAUGUUUUUCUCAAACUUUAUAUGACAUCAACUACUUUCAUUGUCUGAGAAUCGUUGAUCUGCUCAAGGAGACAGAAGCGGGAAGUAAAAACAUGUUUGGGAGAUCGCAGCGCAUGAAGGAUUGGUGUGAGAUUCUCAAACUACAUGAAAAGGAUGGCGUUUAUUUAGCUGAAGUCGCGCAAUUCUUGAUGAGGAAUGUUAAUUAUGAGGUAACUGCACUGAAGAAACAGAUCGUGAAAUGUAAACAGAUUCAGAAGGAUAUGGUGAGGAAGGAGUCUGAGUACAGGAGCGGGGAGGCUGAGUAUCUUGAGAAAUAUAAUGCAGCGUGUCGAUAGAUGGAGAUCAGGGUAUCAGGGGCAAUAAGAUAAAAUCAGAGCUGUUAUCGUUAGUGAAACAUCUUCCUGCCGAGUUUGAUAAAAUAACAACAGCUACCAGGGACCUCAAAGAACCAGUCAACUUGUAUGAAAUGUUCAUCGAGUUCACAUUAAAAAAGUUCUGAUAUAACAUCAAGUCGCUCCCUGAUCAUCAGAUACCUCCAGCAGAGAGGUAACACCACCAUCUUUGAAUACCGCAUGAGUGAGAAGCCGACCGUGAUCCACCUGGCUGAGUAUGCGGUCAUUUGGAGGAGAGAGAUUACACGGAGGAGGCUGGAGAGUUAAGGGUUAAAGUGGUGUUGAGCAACACACCAUCAAUAUCAUUAUUCUGGAUGGCAAUUUAGGAUAGAAGUGUGAAAUAUAGGGAAAUGAAAUAAUACAGGACUCAGGAUAGGUUGUUUUCUUUAAGACCAAAAGAGUGCUAACUUACUCAACUUUAAAGAGGACUUUAGGCUAGGUUGGAGCUUGGGGGUGAAACUGGUGGUCUUCCUGUUGGGUAAUGACCAAUUAGCGGACUGGGUCAUGAUUGAUUCCUCGUACAAGCACAACAGUUUUGAUGUAGUGAGAGAUAGGAGAGACCCCUAUAGGCAACUUUGUGUAACUGUCAAAGAAAAGAAAGAUUCUUAAUUUUUAAUUCUGUACACAUUGUAUAAUAAUAAAUAUUUUAACGUAUAAGGAUGGUCGUUGUCUCAAUUAUGUAUUUGCUCUUCAUAUUAAAAUGAAACAGAAUGUAUAAUUUACAUGACCUGUAGGCCUAUCUAAACAAUGAGGUCCCAGUGUAAUGUGAGUCUUCUCCUAUGGAGCCCCGCCCAUAGGAAGCCUCAUCGGUUUGGCCGCCGCACAUGCGCACCUCCGAGUUAGAUAAGAGUACGAGGUGACGACGACCACACCAA